GAGAGAGGCUCGAUAGCAACAAGGACUGCUAAUCCUCGUCACCCUGGUUUGACCCCACGGCUCACUCG
rnacentral:tRNA from 2 species